CCACGCAACAGGCUUUUGGCUGCUCGAUCGCGUCCAUCCUACGCGGUACUGUACAGACCUUCGUGUCGUGUGCGUCGUCGGUGCCUCCCCAACAUUUCGCCCUCCAGUCGGCUGCGGCUUUCCUCGGUCCCGUCGUUGUUCUCGCUCCACUUUCCUCGGUAAGCUAUCCUUUUCUGGCGCCUCCUCUCUUCUGAUCUAAUGUAGUUGGCUUUGCCGGACCAUGCCCUUGGCUUGGAGCUGCUGCUCUCGGCUCCGAGCACCAUGGCAUCCACCGUUUGUUCCCCAUGUUCAAUGCACAUCAUGGCUAGCGGCUCUCACCCCUGCCGAGACGGGUGGACGGCUGGACGCCUCCUCCAUAGCUCGCUGGUGUGUGAGGUGUGCCCUCUGCUCACUGCUGCUGAGCAAGGAUCCAUUCUGGUGUUGCUGCAUCUGAUCAUAUGAUCCGCACCUAUGGAUUGGCCAGACUUGAAGGCAGCGAUGUGCUGGCCGAAAAUAGAGAGGCAAGGCAAGAGGAGGUCAUGUUAACGUUCACGUCUUCAACUGCUACUUGUGGAAGGAAGUUCGGAACCAAAAAAAAAUUGCAUUCUCUUGCGACUUCUUGCAUCUUGGAUGUCAAUAAUCUGUUCAGCUGUUUGUGCUAUGGUUGAUUUGACUGAUAAUGGUGAGCAAAACAUAUGAUGUACACUAAUUAUCAUAUAUAAGCUACUGCGGUAUAAUACUAAUGAAACUUACUGGGUAAUUGAUUUGAUGCUAACUGCAAAUAAGAUUCGAUUUGUUCCUUAGAAUGCAAAAUUUCUUUCCAGUAUGGCCAUUUGUUGCUUAUGUAAAAUAAUGAAUUACAGUUUUUCAAAAUAGUUGGUGUAAAGCUGUAAACA